GGGAUUCCCCUCCUGAUCGCAGCCUGCCCAGGCCAUUGGCACUGUGGUGACCACGUCACCGAACGUGUGAGACUAGGCAGCUGUGCGCCAGAACUUGUGACAAGGUGUGUUGGUGUGUGGACGCGGCUGUUUGUGUGUGGAAGCCCAGUGUUGAGUGUGGGUGUCGGGGCACGACUUGUGAGGCUGGGCGGGGCUCUGGUCCAGAGUCCGGUGGCGGUGGAGCCCUCACUUUCGCACGAUUCCCCUGCAGCUCUCCAGCGCCCCCUGCCCCCGAAGUUGGCUGGAAGGAAGGUGGGAGACACCUGUUGGGUGGCUGAGAGCGGCAGAGCCCACAGGGGCCUCUCCCCAUGCGCCCCGCCCGCCCUGUCCCGCUCGGAUCCCGCCCCCGCGGCCGCCGCAAGCAACGCGGCGAGUGAGCGCACAGCUGCCAGAGGAGCGCAGGGCGGCGGGAGCGCACCGCGGGGACCCAGCCGAGGCCAGGGCCGCCAGGGAGGCGGGCAGAGCAAAGGCAGCGCCGUGGAGACGCCGGGGGCAGCGGGCCACGCCAGGCAGGUGAGUGCGGCCGCGGGGCCCCCGGAGCGAGGGAGCGGGGCGUCGCGACUCCGCCGCCUUCUGCCCAUCCGGUCCCGUGCCCGUUCCAGGCUCUGCCCCACCGCCCUCCAUCCCCGCGACUCCUUGGUCCCUGUCCUCUGCCCCUCUCUCCGGCUGUUUUCCCCGUCCUGUCUCUGUCGGUCCCUCUCUAUUUCACUAUCUCUUUCUAAUUUCUCUUUUCUGUCUGCUUCCUGCUGUCUUGGUCUUUUCCUGUCUCUCAACACCUGCCUCACUAUUUGUCUAUCUCCGCCUCUGUCUCUCCGUUUCUGUCCGUCUCUGAGUUACCUGUCACUUAGGUCUUUUAUCUCUUGCUCCUCUACCUCUCUUACCCUCCCUGUCUCUCUACCCAAUAUUCUAUCUCUCUCCAUCUCUGUCUCUCUACCCUAUCUCUGCCUGAUAUUUCUGCCUCUCUGCAUCUUGGUCCCUCUCAGUCUCUGUGUCACCCCACUUCUUUCUCUCCUUGUCACCCUGUUCCAUCUCUAUUUUCACAUCUCCCUGUCAUUGUCUCUGUGGGACAUCCCCCCUUCUCCUUUUCUUUCUCUCUCCCUCCUUUCACCAUUUCUCGAUGUCUCUUGGUCCCUGUCACCCUCUCUGAUCUGCUCACUCUUCCAGUCUUCAGUCAAUGGCCAUUUCUGA
rnacentral:lncRNA from 1 species